UACGUAGGUGGCAAGCGUUGUCCGGAUUUAUUGGGCGUAAAGCGAGCGCAGGCGGUUUUUUAAGUCUGAUGUGAAAGCCCCCGGCUCAACCGGGGAGGGUCAUUGGAAACUGGAAGACUUGAGUGCAGAAGAGGAGAGUGGAAUUCCAUGUGUAGCGGUGAAAUGCGUAGAUAUAUGGAGGAACACCAGUGGCGAAGGCGGCUCUCUGGUCUGUAACUGACGCUGAGGCUCGAAAGCGUGGGGAGCAAACAGG
rnacentral:rRNA from 1 species